CCUACGGGAGGCAGCAGUGAGGAAUAUUGGUCAAUGGACGAGAGUCUGAACCAGCCAAGUAGCGUGAAGGAUGACUGCCCUAUGGGUUGUAAACUUCUUUUAUAUGGGAAUAAAACGUUCCACGUGUGGGAUUUUGUAUGUACCAUAUGAAUAAGGAUCGGCUAACUCCGUGCCAGCAGCCGCGGUAAUACGGAGGAUCCGAGCGUUAUCCGGAUUUAUUGGGUUUAAAGGGAGCGUAGGUGGAUUGUUAAGUCAGUUGUGAAAGUUUGCGGCUCAACCGUAAAAUUGCAGUUGAAACUGGCAGUCUUGAGUACAGUAGAGGUGGGCGGAAUUCGUGGUGUAGCGGUGAAAUGCUUAGAUAUCACGAAGAACUCCGAUUGCGAAGGCAGUUCACUGGACUGCAACUGACACCGAGGCUCGAAAGUGUGGGUAUCAAACAGGAUUAGAUACCCUAGUAGUC
rnacentral:rRNA from 1 species